rnacentral:misc_RNA from 1 species
UCUCCGUAGGUGAACCUGCGGAAGGAUCAUUAUUGUAUAACCGAGGUGCGAGGGCUGUCGCUGACCCGAAAGGUCGUGCACGCCCGAGUGCCCUCACACACAUCCAUCUCACCCCUAUGUGCACCACCGGGUGGGUCCCCCUUUGGCUUGUUCGGAGGGGGGCUUACGUUGUCACACAAACUUUGUAUGCAGUGUAGAAUGUAUUUUUUGUUUUUGCGAUCACGCAAUCAAUACAACUUUCAACAACGGAUCUCUUGGCUCUC